UGUGCCUGCCAGACCUGUGCAGCCGAGGCGGUGGGAGCUCCGUGUCUCAUCCACAUCCCCCUCGCAGGUGAAGGGCCAGCGGCACCCUCUUAAAUUCUCGGGAAGAUAAGUUUGGAAUGGUGGAUAAUCCAGGCAGGAAUGAUUUUCAGGGGAGGCUGGACUUGAGGCAGUGAUGGACAUCAAGGAUGCACAGGGAUCUGAGCUCAGUGUGGAGAUCAACCAGGAGCAAGGAGCGAUGACACUGGGGCUCAGGGAGCGUCCAGGCCUGCUUAGCCACAGCAGCAUGAGGAGGAGCCACCGUCUGAACCUGAGCCUGAAGCUCAUCUAGGACCUCACCACUCCGGAGGGAGCAGACUGUGGGCUCCGGUGGUCAGAGAAGACACCGACCUUGCAGAGGGGUCUCCAGGAGGGGACGACCGAGGCCUAGGUGUCAGGUUCCGGUUUGGAUGUGAAUUGAGCAAAGAUCCCUGCAAUUUAAGCUUAGGGUCGUCAGUCUACAUUUAAAAACUCAGAGACUCUGCAAAGAAUUCUGACGCUUAUCUGAGGGGAGCGUUGAAUAGGAACAGCGCCAUGGCAGACUGCACACAGGCUGCAGAUGUCGGCGACCCAGCCUGGCCCAUCCUUGCCAUUGUAGACCACAAGGGCCACACCGCCGUCUGCUUUUGUGGCAUCACAGAGCACCCGGCUGCCAGUGUCCACUCUAUGGCUGUACCACAGCCAUCGAACUCGCCUGCAAGAAGCGGGAGCCGACGACCUCUGUCACCGCGGGCUGCUGCUGGGCUCAGGCGGGAGUUUGCCAGCGCCCUUCCCGCACUGGAGGCCACCUGGACUUCACCACCCCACCCCUCAACCCCCCACCCCAGGCACGAAGCGGAGUGGGCCGGACCCCCAGCUGGGUGGCAGAUAUGGGCUUUGGAGGCCACAGGGUGUGGCCGGGUGACAGAGGCACAUGCGGAGGCCUGCUGGCAGUGCAGGUGGCUAACUACUGGGCCAGGUCCAGCAGGGACCUGGGGGCCGGGGGACACCUCCUGAGACAAGCCAGCCUGGACGCUUCCAGCACCUGAGGGGUGACAUGGGGACCCCUCGGAUCUAGCCACCCUCCCCCGCCAGCUGCCCUCACCACCUCCAAGUUCCUCACCGAGCCCUUGCUGGCCCCCCACCCCCCUGCUCUCCUCUUCCCGCCAAGGGCACUGUUGUCUGGGCCUCUCCCACCAGUGACCUGGCUGCCGGGCCCCUGACGUGAGAGGUAGGCUCCUUCGAGGCUGGGAAACCCCUGCCCCGCCCCCCAUGACCACAUCAUAUGCAGUGCCCUGGAUUACAGUGCACUUUGACCACCUCUUGGGAAGACACCCCCUGGGCGGGUCCUGCUGGCCAAGGCUCUCAGGGCUGAUUCCCUGCAGUCUGAGGUGUGGGAUGCAGAGGAGGGAGCUGAGGCCACAGCCCUGUCUCGAUGGGGAUCCCCCAGCCUCCAUCACUCCCAGGUCCCUGCCUGCCACCCCGGGCCUGUCAGAGUGGGGCCCUCUCCCCCAGGCUUGCGUGUGGUGCUGCCCUACGGAGCCCACAGCUGCUGCUUCCUGUUUUCUUUUUAAACAGCUACACUCUGCCUCUGUGAAGGUCGCUGUGGUCCAUACGUUUCUCUGUCCCCCUCUGGAUUGUGCUCAGAUUGAGUCCUCAGGGGUCUUUAUCUGGUCAGGCUGAAAUCCUUCCGCUGGCUCCUGACUCUUCAGUGGCAGGAGGGUGGCUGCUGAGAAUGGGAGCCCAGCCAAGGACUGCGCCAGGAGAGCCAAGGUCUGUGUCCGGUACACCUGCCCUCUGUGAAGUGUCCACAUUAUAGCUGUGAGUCCUGUGUUUUCAGGACAGGCAGAGAGAGAGACUGAGAGAGACAGAGACAGGCUGAGGCAGGAGGAUUGCCACGAGUCCAAGCCUGGCCUGGGCUUGGUAGUGAGUUCAAGGUCAGCCUCAACCCCAGGAAGACCCGUAGGGGGGAGGGACAGGAUUCAUGACAAGGGCUGGGAAGUCUUGGCCUAUUGGGGCGCUGGGCAGCCGUCCUUGGCCAUUUCUCUGCAGCGGAUGCACCCGUGCAGCAGGGGUCUUGGCCUGCUGUCCUGUCUGUCACUCCCUUUGGAGCCAGCUCUAGGUCUGUGGGCCUUGCCUGAGGCCUGAACUGGGUUUCUGACUCAUAGGUGCGUGUCGUGGCCAUUUCAGCAACAGAAACCGCUUGUUUACCUUCUGUGUUCCACUGACAUGGACAAAUAAAGCCAACACCGAAAAAACUGAAAAAAAGAAUAUGUUUUCCUGAGAAACUGUCUUGUAGAUAACAAUAUGUAAAACAAUGAUGACUGA